ensembl:lncRNA
GGUAGACUCAAAUAACUAAGGUUAACUACUUUUGCCAGCAUGCCCGUUUGCUUGUGUAAUAGAGAUGGUCAAGUGUGAAAAGUUCCUGGUUGAAAGCCUGUUUAUUCUAUUAAGGUAUUUGUUGUCCUAGCAGCUUGUUGCUUGUUGCUAUGAAGAACAAAUAUAUGUUGCCACAAAAACAAGGGCAGGUAAUUGAACAUACACCCACCUCAACUUCUAAUUUGACCAAAAGUUAGACUACACGUUAAAGUAAUUCCAUUUAUGCUGGAGAGCAUGUUGCUUAAUGUUACGUUGGGUUUUUUUUUGUUGUUUUGUUGUUUUGUUUUGUUUAUUUCAUAACACAAUUUAAAGCUCAGCAAUUUGAUUUGUUCUGCUGAAAUGUACUUUGGGAAUCUUAAUUUCGAUAUCUAAGGUUUUUUACCAUGGUUCUUGGUAAAGGAAUAGUUUUUAGUGGUGUAGUGCAAGCUCAAAGAAUAACCUUCAGGAUGCAUUGUAAGUUUUGUUAUUUUCUCUUUUUAAUGUAGUUUCAAGAUAAUGUUGUUUUUGUGUUUGCUAUGAGCAUCAAAUGUAUCUGUCUGCUUAACAUUUGCUCUCAUUUGAAGCCCUGUACCUCCAUUUCACUCUCUUUAAUUCCAGUUUUCUUUCUCUCUGAGUCUAUAUCUCCCCCUGCUGUGCAUCUCAAUUCUAUCACUCUAAUAGCUCCCUACGCUGCAGGACACAAAUGAGGACAGAUGGAGACUAAAAAUCUGUCUAAGAGCAACACUAGAGAUGGAAAAUGAGGAAAAUAGGAACACAGAAGAUUAAUACAGGCGUAGAGAAAGCUCUCCUUCAAUCCAACUUUGUCCAGCUAUUGGUAGGAUUUCUUGAUUAGCCACUUCUUCUAUCAGACAUGUCGCCCAGGGAUCUAUACAUCAAUGAUGGUUCCUCUUCUUGCUCUUCUUCUUUCUCAGGUGUCUGCUGCCUAAGGUAUUCAUUAAACACGUGAUCAGUUAUGCUUAUCUUCAUGAUGGACUCAUGGAUCUA